UACGGGGGGAGCAAGCGUUGUUCGGAAUCACUGGGCGUAAAGGGCGUGUAGGCGGUCAGGUAAGUGGAAUGUGAAAUCCCUCGGCUCACCCGAGGACCUGCAUCCCAAACUGCCUGGCUUGAGUAUGGGAGAGGAUGAGGGAAUUCCUGGUGUAGCGGUGAAAUGCGUAGAUAUCAGGAGGAACACCGGUGGCGAAGGCGCUCAUCUGGCCCAAUACUGACGCUGAAGCGCGAAAGCUAGGGGAGCAAACGGG
rnacentral:rRNA from 1 species